GUUGGCAUAUUGAUAUACGGAUGCAUGUCGAAGGUCAGGAAGUGGUGAACUUGUGAACACAAGUGAAGUGAACACAAGUGAAAUGGCAGUAGCUGCAGUUCCAAAUGAUCUGUAAGGUCUCAGUUGAUUAAGAUGUCAAGCCUGAAGGACAGACAGCCACACACCUAUCUGCUGGUAUUUUACUGUGUCACAUUGUUCUGCAUCUAUGGAGCAGGUCAAGACAUUUCUCCUCCAUGUGAAGUUGGGCUGAUGGUCCGGAGAGGCACGACAUGGACAUCAGCCCCACGACAACGCGUGACAGUCAAGUGUCCCGUCAAAGACUGUGGGAAAUCAGUCAGUGUCACGUGGUGCAAACUGAGCGACACAAACAGAUGUGAAUUGAUUAAUCAUACAGAAAGCGUACAACAGAAUGACAAACGUGUCGGAAAUGAAUUGAUCUCAUUUUUGACUUUCAAACGGAUUUCCAUUCAUGACGCCGGCCUGUAUGGAUGUUCUUUAAAAGGAUACAAAUUUGAGGUGAUCAGUCACACUAUCAACAUCUCAGUGUCAGACUCCUACCAGGGGGUCAAAAAAUCAAUCGAUACUACAGAUUUGGCACCAAGUGUUGCUGGUGAUGAGGAUCUGUCCCAGCUGGCCUACGUCCUCUGUCUUAGCGUAGCGCUGCUGUAUGCCCACUAACAGUGUUAACUCUCCUGAUUCUUUAAGGAUGGAAACUUUAAAAAAAUAAAAAAAUAAUCCCUGUCUGAAUUACUGUGGUAACAUUUCUAGAUCUUGCCAAGUGAAAAUGGAGCAUUUGCAAAUUAUAGCCAGUAAUGUUGCAUCUUGCUAUGACUAUUGAAACUUUGCUUGGACUCCUUGUACAAUGGGGUCAGUCAUUCCUCCCUGUUUCGUCUUCAACUUGUCCACAAUGCCAAAACCAGGCUCCUGAAAGGUACCUGGAAGAGAGACCGCUAUUCUGGCCUUCCUCCACUGGCUCCCAGUAAGGUUCAGAAUGGAUUUAAAGUUCUCCUGUUUGUUUCUAUAUCUAUAUGUUUAGAUAUAAAUUCAGCAUUGCAAUAAAAUUCUUGGUCGAU
rnacentral:lncRNA from 1 species